rnacentral:rRNA from 1 species
UACGGGGGGGGCAAGCGUUGUUCGGAGUUACUGGGCGUAAAGGGCCCGUAGGCGGCCAACUAAGUCGGAUGUGAAAUCCCCAGGCUUAACCUGGGAACUGCAUCCGAUACUGGAUGGCUUGAAUUCGGGAGAGGGAUGCAGAAUUCCAGGUGUAGCGGUGAAAUGCGUAGAUAUCUGGAGGAAUACCGGUGGCGAAGGCGGCAUCCUGGACCGACAUUGACGCUGAACGGCGAAAGCUAGGGGAGCAAGCGGG